GAAAAAAAGUUAAUUUUGGUUGUAUUUAUUGUCUGCAGCUGAACUACUGGAGAAUAUAUUGUCUACUGUCCAUUUAAUUGGAGAAUACUUUUUUUUGUAGCUGAUUAUUUUAGGUUUAUAUGAACUCAAGUUAUACAGAACAAAAUACAAAUGCAAAAAGGUUCCUUUUAGACAACUCCAAUUAGUUUGGAUUCAAUUGAAUGGAGUAGAAUGUCUCAAAUCUCCCUGUCAUAAAAAAAUGGGUGUCUGAAUGGCUUGGAUUGUAUUUGACAUUCCUACUAAUCAAAUCACAUUGCUAAGAGUGUAUGCAGGAAGAGAAGUUGUUCUUUCUUGGUUUACUAAUUGCUCUUUGGUCUACCUCUUUAAUGCUCUCCAGUAUCACUUCAACUAAGA
rnacentral:misc_RNA from 1 species